rnacentral:rRNA from 1 species
UACGUAGGGGGCUAGCGUUGUCCGGAAUCAUUGGGCGUAAAGAGCGCGUAGGCGGCUAGAUAAGUCCGGUGUGAAAGUCACAGGCUCAACCUGUGAAUGCCGCUGGAAACUGUCUGGCUAGAGUCCGGAAGGGGCGAGUGGAAUUCCUGGUGUAGCGGUGAAAUGCGCAGAUAUCAGGAAGAACACCCGUGGCGAAGGCGGCGCUCUGGAACGCAACUGACGCUGAGGCACGAAGGCCAGGGGAGCAAACGGG